AUGCACCAACACUUCCCCUGGUGUAACCAAGGAAGAAGAAAUUUAUUUCAUUCUUAUUUCAAUCACAAGAGCAUCCUUGUUGAGCCAACCAGAGCCAAUUACUGUUGUGUGGGUUGUAUGUGUGGAAGUUCAGUGAAACCAAAGACAUUUGAUGCAGUUAUGAAGAAUUUUAUUCAAUCUCAUGCCAAUGACUAAGAGUAACUGCUUAAUAGGGAGAGUGUUUUCUUCCAAUUUGAGACUGCAGAGCACUCUCUUUGCAAGAAACUCUGGCUUUAAUGAAAGUGCACCUGAGCCCAGGCAUAUUUGAUCACUCUUUCCGUGUGUUAAAAAGAGUCCUGUUUCUUUCUGGAAUUUUGAUUGCAUGUGUAAACACUGGCAACAUUUAUUUGCUUCACAUCAUUUUCUAAAUCUAUUAACUGUAGGAAAAGGAAACUUGUCCAGAGAAAAAUAAAGUGAAUGAAAAAAAUACUGAAAAUGGG
rnacentral:lncRNA from 1 species